GACGUGUGAUCAUUUUUAUUGUGCACAACUAUUCUGGAGCUUCCCGAAUUUUUCAACUGAGUAACAUGUUUUUUCAACAAAUCUUCGGCAGUGAGUUGUGAGUCUUGUGAUUGUUGGAACUAAGAAGGAAGAAACAAUGAUGUAGUUGUUGGAAUGAAGAAAAUAUGGCAAUCACCACAUACUUUCAUCGUCUAGUCCAAGUCCGAGCAUCUUUCAACUCCAUCAGAUCAUUCUCGCUACCAUCAGGUGCUCUGAUUACGGACCCCCUAGCGAUGGGACUUCAUGCUGUUUCUCACUUCCAGGCUCUCCUAUCCCCUGCAGUUCUACCAGAAUCGAUCUCCUCCCUCCAAUGGUUCCAAUCAUUGAUCCAGCACCGAUGUCAGGUCUCCCAAGCACAAUCUACGAUCACACUCCCUGAUGCUGCAGAAAUUACCAAGGUUAUUAUGAAACUAAAUGCAAACAAAGCACCAGGGCCAGAUGGGCUUACUUCGGGAUUUUUCAAGUCUGCUUGGAAUCUUCUAGGGGCAGAAACUGUAAAUGCAAUCAAAUCUUUUUUCUCAGCAGCUUUUCUCCCCUCAGCUGCAAACUCCACCAUCCUAACCCUUGUCCCAAAAAGACCAGGAGCUUCUGCAAUAGGAGAUUUCAGGCCUAUCUCGUGCUGUAACACCCUCUAUAAGGCUAUCUCUAAGCUGCUGGUUCAUUGCCUCAAGCCUCUUUUGCCUGAUCUCAUCCUCCCAAAUCAAACAGCGUUUGUGCAGGGACGCCUUCUUGUUGAAAAUACGGUUUUGGCUGCAGAAAUUGUCCACGGUUAUCAUCGGAACAGAGGAGCUAAACGGAUUGCCAUAAAAGUCGACAUUGCAAAGGCUUUUGAUACAAUAAGCUGGAACUUCAUCUUUACAUGUCUGACUAGCAUGGGCAUACCUACACUGUAUAUCCGCUGGUUGGAAGCUUGCGUUUGUACUGCCUCUUUCUCGGUAGGAUACAAUGGAACGGUCCAAGGGUACUUCAAGAGCAAAAGGGGUCUUCGUCAAGGAGAUCCCCUAUCUCCUUACUUGUUUGUAGUUGCAAUGAACUGCUUAUCUACUCUCCUCAACAACGCAGCGACAGAAGGAAGAUUUGGAUACCAUCAAAACUGCGAGGAUAGUAAACUAACGCACCUAUGUUUCGCUGAUGAUCUGCUAAUAUUCACCAAAGGAGAUAAACAAUCAGUUAAAGGAGUGUUGGAAGUACUAAAUGAAUUCGAAAGGCACUCGGGUCUUGGAGUAAGUCUAUCAAAAAACUGCUUCUUCACUUGUGGGCUACCGCAGACAGAAAUUACGGAAAUUGCUGAGGAAACAGGUCUGUCUCAUGGAACCCUCCCAAUCAGAUACCUUGGAGUCCCUCUCUGCACCAAAAAAAUAUCAUUGUCUAACUGUGAGCCACUGAUAUCAAGCAUAAAAGGAAAACUAAACUCUUGGUCAGCCAAAACUCUUUCUUUUGCAGGAAGAUUAUUACUUAUCAACACAGUUUUAGCAGGGAUCACAAACUUUUGGUGUAGCACUUUCACACUGCCCAAAUCAUGCAUAAAAAUAAUCAACUCCAUGUGUGGCGCUUACCUGUGGAAAGGGACUUUAGAGGGACAUCACUCGGCUCGUGUAGCAUGGGACACCAUUGUUCACGCAAAGGAGGAAGGGGGGUUAGGCAUCAGGGAUCUUGUAAGCUGGAACAAGGCCACUUCUAUCAGGCUCAUCUGGCUACUGUUCUUCAGCUCUGGUUCAAUAUGGGUAGCUUGGUUUGUUGAAGAAAUUAUAUCUGGCGAUCGCUCCAAUUUCUGGAUAAUCAAAGAAUCAAAUAAUCAUUCCUGGCUUGUCAAGCGCUUUCUUCGCUUAAGGCCAUUGGUCUACAAUUGGAUUCAUGUCAAGCUAGGAAAUGGAAGACAUGCUCGUUUUUGGAGCGAUAAUUGGUCCCCUUAUGGAAAUAUAUCAGAUUUUCUUCAACUCCAGCCUCACUCAAGAUUAGGCAUCCCAAGACUCGCCACCGUCUCAGACCUCUACGUUGAUGGUGAUUGGAUACUCCCACCGGCUCGAUCAGAUGCACAAGUA
rnacentral:lncRNA from 1 species